AGUGGCGGACGGGUGAGUAACACGUAAGAAUUUGCCUUUAGGAGGGGGACAACAACUAGAAAUGAUUGCUAAUACCCCAUAUGCUUUCGAGUGAAAUGGAUUUUUCCGCCUAGAGAGAAGCUUGCGGCUGAUUAGCUUGUUGGUGAGGUAAUGGCUCACCAAGGCGACGAUCAGUAUCUGGUUUGAGAGGACGAUCAGACACACUGGAACUGAGACACGGUCCAGACUCCUACGGGAGGCAGCAGUGGGGAAUUUUCCGCAAUGGGCGAAAGCCUGACGGAGCAAUACCGCGUGAGGGAUGACGGCCUAUGGGUUGUAAACCUCUUUUUUCAGGGAGGAAUCAAUGACGUGUACCUGAAGAAUAAGCAUCGGCUAACUCCGUGCCAGCAGCCGCGGUAAGACGGGGGAUGCAAGUGUUAUCCGGAAUCACUGGGCGUAAAGCGUCUGUAGGUGGUCCAAUAAGUCAACUGUUAAAUCUUGAGGCUCAACCUCAAAAUCGCAGUCGAAACUAUUAGACUAGAGUAUAGUAGGGGUAAAGGGAAUUUCCAGUGGAGCGGUGAAAUGCGUAGAGAUUGGAAAGAACACCGAUGGCGAAGGCACUUUACUGGGCUAUUACUAACACUCAGAGACGAAAGCUAGGGUAGCAAAUGGGAUUAGAUACCCCAGUAGUCCUAGCCGUAAACAAUGGAUACUAGAUGUU
rnacentral:rRNA from 1 species